UAACAUCACAACCAGAAAAUGAAUACAAUGCAAAUUGAUAAUAAAUGAUACAAUGGCACAAUAAAAACGCUCAAAUAAAAGAGGAAACACCGAUUUCGCCGAGAACCAGGUUCGUGACGUCACGGGAACAUGGCGGCGCGCGGAGUUUAUCUCGCAUGUGUUGUUAUUAUAAUUUAUACGCUAGUCUGUUGAAUUUGAAAACUCAUUUGUGAAGUUUUGUGAGUGCGCAACUGCGCAUGCGUCACUUUCUCCCCCGCUUUGAAAAAGAGAUGUGCGAUUUAUUGUGUUGACAGUAAAUGACACUUUCUUUCUUUCUCCAGAACGGGAUAUUUCCCUUUUACUCUUGUUUUACAAUUUCUAGUUAAUAUAGUGAUCAUUGCAGCUUGGUAAACCUGUGUUUAAUGCAAGAAUAGCCAAAACUAAGCCCUUUAAAUGGCCAGGAUUUGCUGUGGGCCCCUGCACACAUUUGCACUACUGACUUCUGUACUUCUUAUUCUGGCGCACAAGGACAAGAAUGUUUCAUUUGCCUUUUCACCAUCAGCAGAAUGGCAGCACAGUUCAAACAUCUCAUACAGGAGCGUUCGGUUCCAAAAGAACUUAAGCAAUCGUGUUAAUAAUGUAUCUGCUGAUCCCAGGACUCACACUAGUUUAGUCAGAGAUCAGUGUGGUGUAGCUGUGGAGAGCCGCAUUGACUGUGGCCGUGAUCGAUCUUUGAGCCGGGCUGAUUGUGAGGGCAGAGGAUGCUGCUAUGUGCCCCUGCCUCAGUCUGGAUUAGGAGGACCACCAUGGUGUUUCUACCCAGUCCGUUACCCAGGCUACAAGAUGGGGCCGCUGUUGCGCACAGAGAAGGGCCAAAGAGCCACCCUGACCCGUUCUGCAGCCUCAUACCUGCCCCGGGACAUCCCCACACUGCAGCUAGAUGUGAUGCCUGAGACUUUGGGUCGUCUUCACCUCACUCUGAAGGAUCCAACAUCUCCACGAUAUGAAGUCCCAUUUGUGACGUCCCAAUCCAGGGGCCACAAGGACAUACAAAACCCCCUCUAUGAUAUUGACUUUCAACCAGAUCCAUUUGGAUUCAUUGUACGGCGUAAAUCCAAUGGCCGUGUUCUUCUGAAUACUACAAUAGGCCCGCUCCUGUUUGCAGAUCAGUAUCUACAGCUCUCCACCAGCAUGGCUUCCUCUGUGAUUUCUGGCCUGGGUGAACAUUACACCCCCAUCACGCUGGACCUCAACUGGAGCUCUGUUUCAUUAUGGAACAGAGACAUGGCGCCACAUAGAAGUGCCAACUUGUACGGCUCCCACCCUUUCUUUUUGGUCCAAGAAGGUGAUGGACAGGCACAUGGAGUCUUUCUUCUCAACAGCAAUGCGAUGGAAGUGUUUCUGCAGCCCACUCCAGCAUUUACUUGGGUGACCAUCGGAGGAAUACUGGACUUCUACAUUUUCUUAGGCCCAAGUCCUCAGAGUGUGGUUCAGCAGUACCAUGAGGUUAUAGGUUAUCCCACGAUGCCACCCUACUGGUCACUGGGCUUCCACCUCUGUCGCUGGGGUUAUACGUCCAGCAACAGAACAAGAACAGUGGUACAGCUCAUGCGCCAGGCCAAGAUCCCACUAGACGUACAGUGGAAUGACCUUGAUUAUGCAGACAAAAGAAGAGUCUUUACGUUUGAUCCUCAAAGAUUUGGAGAUUUGCCCCAAAUGGUUGAAGAGUUCCAUCUGCUGGGCAUGAAGUAUGUGCUCAUUCUGGAUCCAGGCAUCAGCAGUGCAAGUCCUCCUGGUUCAUACAAACCCUUUGAUGAUGGGCUGAAGAGGGGAGUGUUCAUCAGAAACUCCACUGGACAGAUCCUUAUUGGGAAGGUAUGGCCGGGUCCAACUGCAUUCCCAGAUUUCACCAAUCCCACAACACAGGACUGGUGGAUGGAAUGCAUCAGAGUCUUUCACAGCAAGGUACCUGUGGAUGGACUCUGGAUAGACAUGAAUGAGCCGUCAAAUUUUGUGCAGGGCUCUGUGGAUGGGUGUCCUGACUGUGACUUGGAGAAACCACCUUAUACACCAGGUGUGAUAGGAGGUCAGUUAAACUCAGGAACUCUGUGUGUGUCAGCACAGCAGUAUCUGUCCAAUCAUUACAAUCUGCACAAUCUGUAUGGGCUGACCGAGGCCAUCGCCACCCACAGGGCACUGUUGAAAGUGAAGAGUACUCGGCCGUUUGUCCUGUCCCGGUCGUCUUUUCCAGGACUGGGCCGUUUCUCUGCACACUGGACUGGAGAUGUGCGGAGUGACUGGGAGCAACUGCGCUUUUCAAUACCUGGCGUGCUCCUGUUUGGACUCUAUGGCGUCCCGUUAGUGGGAGCUGACGUCUGUGGGUUUGGUGGAGACACUACUGAAGAGCUGUGUGUGCGCUGGACACAACUUGGAGCCUUUUACCCCUUUAUGAGAAACCAUAAUGACAGACCCAAUGCGCCCCAAGAGCCAUAUGUAUUUAGCCAGCAAGCCCAGGAUGCCAUGAGGACUGUGAUUACGCUGCGAUACUCUCUGCUGCCCUUCCUCUACACACUGUUUCAUCACGCACACUCCUCCGGCAGCACCGUGGCCCGUCCUUUCUUCCUUGAGUUUCCCACUGAUCCGAACUGCCAGACCAUUGACAGACAGUUCCUGUGGGGGAGUUCACUGCUUAUCAGCCCCGUUCUGGAAGAGGGAGCGGUGGAGGUGACGGCCUAUCUUCCCCCGGGGACUUGGUACAGUCUGCACAAUGGGGAAGCAUAUUACAGUAAAGGGCAAUACAUUGUGUUCCCUGCUCCUUUAGACACCAUUAACGUUCAUGUGAGAGAAGGAAGCAUCAUCCCGCAGCAGGUUCCUGCAUUGACAACUACAGCAUCUCGCAGGAAUCCUUUCACCCUAAUUGUGGCACUGUCUGUGGGAAGUUGGGCUAAAGGGGAGCUCUUCUGGGAUGAUGGGGAAAGUCUGGACACUUUUGAGCGUGGAAAUUAUUCAUAUGUUCUGUUCUUUGCUGAAGAGAUUUGGAGAAAUUUAGCGUUACAUCACUUGCUCACCAAUGGAUGCUCUGCAGUGAAUGGGUGCCGUCAGAAUGAGAGUUCAAACAGCUGAUAAAAACAUCACAAUAAUCCACAAGUAAUCCACACCGCUCCAGUCCAAUUACUGAUGUCUGAUGAAGCAAAAAGCUGCAUGUUUGAUUGCUUUCACCUUUGAAAAAGUCGUUUUUGUCUGAAUCAGGAGCAAAAUAUGCACAGAAAAAGCACAGUUUGCAAGCAAAAACUGGAGGAUACGCCACUAUGGAUUAUACACAGAGGUGAGGAUUUAAAGUUAAAACGCCUUUCUCCAGAUCUGUUCUGAUAAAGAAACAAACUCAUCUCGGAUGGCCUGAUGGUGAGUAACUUUUCAGCUAUUUUUCAUUUUUGGGUGAGCUAUUCCUUCAACUAGAACAUCAUUUGAAACCCAUCAAACAAAUGGACUAUAUUGGAGAAUACUCAAAAGUUAUGGUCAAUUUGUGCAUUCAUUCGAAAUGUAUUCUAUUUCAAUUUGUUUGAUUUUUCAUAUUUCCCUGCAGUCUUAUGUGGUCAGUAAGCCAGUCAAAUUGAAUGGAUCUCUCGAUGGUUUGGUCCUCGGGGAAGUACGUGUUUUUGGGGUUCAGACUCCACCUACAGCCGUGUGGGCCAAUGGCCAAAAGGUUCAUGACUUCUCUUACAGC